AGGCACUGUGGUGUGACUUCAUUAUAUCACAGGAUAAGUCUGAAAAGGCCUACAGUAGCAAUUAAGUAGAAAAAUGCAUAUGUAUAUUGCAAAGCUCAUGUAUUAACAUGCAUAGCAUAGAAGGAAAGGAUUACAUAGCUUCAUUACCAUUUCAGGUUGCAAAUGUUUGGCCCACUAAAUAUGGAUUGUUGUUUGAACGAAGCGCUUCUUCACAUGAAGUACCUCCAGGUUCACCCA